rnacentral:rRNA from 1 species
AGAUUGAACGCUGGCGGCAGGCCUAACACAUGCAAGUCGAGCGGCAGCACGGGUACUUGUACCUGGUGGCGAGCGGCGGACGGGUGAGUAAUGCCUAGGAAUCUGCCUGAUAGUGGGGGAUAACGCUCGGAAACGGACGCUAAUACCGCAUACGUCCUACGGGAGAAAGCAGGGGACCUUCGGGCCUUGCGCUAUCAGAUGAGCCUAGGUCGGAUUAGCUAGUUGGUGGGUAAUGGCUCACCAAGGCGACGAUCCGUAACUGGUCUGAGAGGAUGAUCAGUCACACUGGAACUGAGACACGGUCCAGACUCCUACGGGAGGCAGCAGUGGGGAAUAUUGGACAAUGGGCGAAAGCCUGAUCCAGCCAUGCCGCGUGUGUAGAAGAAGGUCUUCGGUAAUUGUAAAAGCAACGUUUUAAGUGGGAAGGAAGGCAGUUACCUAAUACGUAUCUUGUUUGACGUACACAGAAUAAGCACCGCUAACUCUGU